CUUGGUCAUUUAGAGGAAGUAAAAGUCGUAACAAGGUUUCCGUAGGUGAACCUGCGGAAGGAUCAUGAUCGUACACAGAGGCACGAGGGCUGUCGCUGACCUGUCAGGGUCGUGCACGCCCAAAGUGUACUCGCCCAUCCAUCUCACCCCUUUUGUGCAUCAUCGCGUGGGCCCCCCCUCCUCUCUAGGCUAGUCUCGGAGAAAGGGUGGUUCACGUUUUUCACACAAACACAUACAUGUAUUAUGUUGGCUUUUGCGUAUGACUCGCAAUCAAUACAACUUUCAACAACGGAUCUCUUGGCUCUCGCAUCGAUGAAGAACGCAGCGAAAUGCGAUACGUAAUGUGAAUUGCAGAAUUCAGUGAAUCAUCGAAUCUUUGAACGCACCUUGCGCCCCUUGGCAUUCCGAGGGGCACGCCCGUUUGAGUGUCGUGACAUUCUCAAAGCCCUUUCUUUGAAUGGACUUUGGACUUUGGAGGUUUUUAUUUGCUGGCCUCACUUCACUUUUGAGGUCAGCUCCUCUCAAAUGCAUUAGUGGGGAACAGCUUUGCGGGAAACCCUCGACGUGAUAGGAUGCUUCUGCUGCGUCUUGGGCCUUUUCGCUUUACACCCGCUUCUAAACCGUCAGCUUUCCUCAUUCAUUUUGGGGAGGGCUUUUGACCUCACGAAAACCUUGACCUCAAAUCGGGUGAGACUACCCGCUGAACUUAAGCAUAUCAAUAAGCGGAGGAAAAGAAACUAACAAGGAUUCCCCUAGUAACUGCGAGUGAAGCGGGAAAAGCUCAAAUUUAAAAUCUGGGGUCUUUGGCCAUCCGAGUUGUAAUUAGAGAAGCGUCUUCCGCGCUGGACCGUGCAC
rnacentral:sRNA from 1 species